AGCGAACGCUGGCGGCAGGCCUAACACAUGCAAGUCGAACGAAGUCUUCGGACUUAGUGGCGGACGGGUGAGUAACACGUGGGAACGUGCCUUUAGGUUCGGAAUAACUCAGGGAAACUUGUGCUAAUACCGAAUGUGCCCUUCGGGGGAAAGAUUUAUCGCCUUUAGAGCGGCCCGCGUCUGAUUAGCUAGUUGGUGAGGUAAAGGCUCACCAAGGCGACGAUCAGUUGCUGGUCUGAGAGGAUGAUCAGCCACAUUGGGACUGAGACACGGCCCAAACUCCUACGGGAGGCAGCAGUGGGGAAUCUUGCGCAAUGGGCGAAAGCUUGACGCAGCCAUGCCGCGUGAAUGAUGAAGGUCUUAGGAUUGUAAAAUUCUUUCACCGGGGACGAUAAUGACGGUACCCGGAGAAGAAGCCCCGGCUAACUUCGUGCCAGCCGCCGCAGUAAUAC
rnacentral:rRNA from 1 species